UGCUGCCGCACAUUCACCACCGCGUGACGCGGCGCCGGGUCGCCGCCGCAGAUUCGACACAAAACCCGGAAGGACCCCGCCGAAGGUUUUCUCCGGUUCGGGAGAGAGACGGAGUCCCGCUCUGUCACGCAGGCUGCCAGGCUGGCGUACAGUGGCGCAAUCUCAGCUCGCUGCAACCUCCACCUCCUGGGUUCAAGCGAUUUUCUUGCCUCUGCCUCCUGAGUAGCUGGGAUUACUGGCACACACCACCAUGCACAGGUAAUUUUUUUAUAUUUUUUAAUAGAGACAGGGUGUUGGCCAGGCUGGUCUUGAAAUCCUGACUUCAGUGAUCUGCCCGUCUUGGCUUCCCGAAGUGCUGUGAUUACAGCCAUGAGCCACCGUGCCCGGCCAACUCUUCUCAGUUCUAAGUGUCCUAACACCCUUCAUCUCCUGCUGACUGCAAGGCAGUUCUCAGGGAGGAGCCUGGAUUGUGUCCAUGUAUAAAGAAAGACUCUGCUGCUGAUGUGCAAAGGAAUGUGGAUGUGAUAGUUUCCAGCCUGAAAGUCCCCCUCUUUUCAUCUCCGCAGUAUAGUUCUUAGAAACAACAAGCCUUGCUUUUACAGUGAGUCCAUAUCUAAAACUUUAUCUGAACCCAAAAUACCUGAGAUAGGUCUCAGUCAAUUUAGAGAGUUAAUUUUGCUAAGAUUAAGCAUGUAUCCAAGACAGCUUCAGGAGGUCUUGACAACGUGACAACAUGUGUCCAAGGUGGUUGGGGCACAACUUGGUUUUAUACAUUUUAGGGAGAUAUGAGACAUCAAUCAAUAUAUGUAAGAUGUACAUCAGUUUCGUCUGGAAAGAUGGGACAACAUGAAGCAGGGAGGGGGCUCCCUGGUGACAGGUACAUUUGCAUUCUUUUGAGUUUCUAAUUAGCCUUUCACUGAUACAUACCUAUGACCUGGGUUUCCAGGUCAUAGGUACGACUGCAUUCUUUUGAGUUUCUAAUUAACCUUUCACUGAAUACAUAACUUACAGGAAUAGUCACUUAUGCCUUAGUCUGGCUUAGUGAAACAAUAGGGAAAAGGAAGCAAUUAGAUAUGCAUUUAUCUCACAUGAGCAAAAGGAUGACUUUGAGUUCUGUCUGUCUUUUGUCUACAGGGAAUUUUCUUGUGGGCAAAUUGUGAGGGAGGUAUGUAGCUUUUUUAUCUUUGUUGCUAUCUUGUUUAGGAGUACAAUGGGACGCAGGUUUGCCCCACAGUUCCCAGCUUGGCUUUUCCCUUUGGCUUAGUAAUUUUGGAGUCCUGAGAUUUAUUUUCCUCUCACAUCUCCCCGUUUUUCUUUUUAAAAUCUUUCAGAGACAGCAUUUUAGAAGAAAACAAGUCUCUGGUCUCAGGCUUUGUCUGAUCUCUCAUGGCUAGGAUAGUUUAUUCCUAGAUGGAUAAGUACCACGUUAUUUGGAAAGCUCAUUUUUAGUAGGUUAUGAAGUCUCAUGUCCUUUGAAGAGAAAAUAGGGGGAGGAAGGAAGAAAAACAACAACAAACAAACAAAAUGAAGAAGAAUCCUGGAAAAUCAAUAUAGGCCGUAUUACUCUGAAGUCCAUGUCAGUAGGCAGGUAUGAAAGUGGUUUAUGUGUGUAAAUAGGUUGCUAUUAUUUUCUUCUGAAGUUUACAUUGUCUAGCUUCAGUCUGUAGGGCUUUAAGAAAGACUGCUUAAUUUUAAGUGAUUUCAAAUCAGGAAAAAUGGGGUGGGGGGAAGUAAACGAAAGAAGAAAAAAAUUGAAAACAUUAUUUUGGAGACUUGUAGCCAGGAAAAAUUUUUGAAUUCAAUCUAAAUUGUAGAAAAUAAAAAAAACUGAAAAACAUUAGGCAAGACUAGAAUCUAAUAACAGGUGUACUAUAGUUUAUGUUGAAAUAUAAUUUUCCUCUCUCCAGUCUCAUUUUCACUAAAGACAAGUCAUAGGACAAAUUCAUUUGCAAAAUAAGUUGUAGUCUUAUUAUACUUGGCUGGAGUAUUUGCAUAAAGUCAGAAGAAUAAUUAUUUGCUAUAUAGGCUCCUCUUUUUUUUUAAUUGGCUUUGCUAGAACUUUAUUCCACUAAGAAUCUCAGAUUUAACUUUAAUGCAUUAAGCCUGGCCUGUGCCUGCAAAUCCUUGCGUUAGUUGAGUGAAUUCCUCACUUCAAGGUCCCAAGAAAACUUGGGGCUCCUGGGCCUGUCAGAAAGUGACAUUCUUUACUCACUACAGGUCACCCUGUUCCGGGACUGUGCAGACAAGGUAUGAGACCAGGUUUCUCAAGGAGUUUUUAUUGGCUCUAAAGUCAACUUUCAUUCUUUAAAGGAGUCUGUUUGUAUCUGAAAGCAUCCUAUUCCAGUCAAAACCUUGGUAAAAUAACCAGUGUCUCCAAUUGUGCCCUGUUACAAAGGAACAUUCUUGAGAAAGAAUCUUUCUCAGAGGAAAGAUUCUUAUUGCAUGUAUGCAAAUAACUAUAUUGCCAUAAGUUAAGAAUACUCACAACUAGUUUCUAAAUUUUGGAGAAAUCAGGUAGAGAGAAAUAUGCUCCAAAUUUUGUUUACAGAAAUAUACUUUACUCCAUUGUUAAAAGCUAUAAAUAGCUCAAAAGAAAAGUUUUCUUGGCUCUGAAAAACAAAGGGUCAGCAAUGUUUUAGGCAAAAAGUCAUAAAAGGACUAUUUCAGUUUUCUAUUAGUUCAGUCCAUGCAGUUAACUUCUUUUCUGCUUGAUAUUCAUGAACAUUUCAGCUCUCCACUGGAGUCUUGGAAGUUUUUCCUCUAUUCUAGUGUCACAGUCUCCAAAGUUAUUAGAAGCCUGCAUUCAAGAGCACCUGUCAGAGUCCCACAGCUGAUUAUAAAACCACCUUUUGAAUAGGAUAAAAGUAAAACAACUGUGGAUAACAAAAGUCUUAGAACAGUCAUAAAGACACAAUUGACAAAGAUAUUUGGUUACUUCUGUGGCAUACAACAAUUUUACAUAAUUAUAAUUACCACAAUUACAUAAUAAUAAUAAUUACCACUGAUAACAUAUGCCAAGUCAUAUCAGAAUCACAGGAAUUUCAUACAAUUCUCAAACAUAUACCAAUAACAUAUGUGCAUAAAUAUAAUCCAAAGAAGAUUAAACAUUGUUUUAUACUUGACAAUACUUCCUGUAUGAUUUUAUUAUAUCAAAUAAACCAAAUAUGUCUCUUUUGGACUUCAGGGGACUAAUAUCAAAAAAUUAAUGAGGACCAAAGUUAGAAUUUGAUUGUCGAAGGUUUGUCAAACAUAAAAAGUUUAAAACACUUAAUAUCACAAAGUAGGAUCACAGGUCAUUGUAAAGUCAUUCAUUUAGACAAAGCGAUAACUCAAAGAUUUUUUUUAAGGCGAAAACCUUUAUUCUUUGAGAGGAGACUUCAUUUCCCAAACAAUAAGCCUUAAUAAAGACAGGAUGAGGCCAAUUAAACUUGUUCUCCAAAAUUUUAUAAACAGCCUAU
rnacentral:lncRNA from 10 species